rnacentral:lncRNA from 1 species
GAAAACAUGUGUCACAAGAAGUCAACAAUUUGGUCAAACAGGGGAGAAAUUAUCAAACAAAUAGGAAAUGCAUUCAAAAAUUCCAGAAAAAUUCACAAACAUUCCCAACAUGCACAAGUAUCUUCAUGCAAAAAUCCAGACCAUUUUGAGUUCAAUAAGUAUGGUAAUUAAAAUCAUGAAGUUGGACAUGAUUGGUGUGACACAAAUUGUCACACCCCUAUUCAAAAAAUCAUAUCUCAAUAACCAGCAAUGAUAAAAUUACAAACUCUAUACCAAAAUCACCAUGAACAUGUCUAGUUU